rnacentral:lncRNA from 1 species
GAGCAUUUCUAAAUGACUUGAAGCUCUGUCACGGCAUAAUCUCUUAUAAAUAAAUGUCAGUGUAGUCACUGAAUGCAGACUGGAUUUUUGCCUGACUACGGUGCUCAGCCUUCUAGACAAUAGUUAUGCUAAGGGAUUAUCUUUUAACAUUGUGCAGUUAUCUCCUUUGUUUGUUUUCUUUUUUCAUUAUUCACAUAAGCCAAGGGAAAUGAAAAGCAUCUUAUUUCAGGCAAAAAGGCCUGUGAAUGAUUAACUCUGGUUCCAUGCGUUGGGACUUUGCAUAGCAACCCCGUGGCUUGCAACGACAAAAAAGCUCAAGGCAGGAACAGCAGCCCAGGGACCUGAGACCAGCGUUCUCAAAUGAAGAUCUGCUGUUAGAGGAGAAUUCUUCUGUCCUAGCUGUGUCUCUGUGAUCUGUGGAUGAGGGUGGGAAAGCACCACUCAGUCAAUUGGGGUGUACAAAAUGGAGUUUGAGAAGGUCUCACAUCCAGGUUGUUUUGAAGCAAAGUCCAAGCAUUGUAUCACUUCAUCUGCAAAUAUUUCAAUAAGUACCCAAAAGGUCCAGAUUGACUGCAAGAACAAAUCAGCAAUCCUGAGAGGACCCACAGGCCCUCUGAAGGAAGCAGACUACUCCUGCAGGACCUGGGAGAUACCCUGAAUACUUGGUUGGACUGAGUCCCAUGAAGCCAGAUCACUUCUGACUGCAAGGAGCUUGGAAAAGCAAGUAUCUGGAUCUUUUACCAGCUAAAUUUGGAGAAUUAUUGAUCAAAUUUGGAUCUCUGUGUGCUGUCCUCCAAUUUAAUACUUUCUGUGUUGCUGUUUUAUUUUCUUUCUUCUGGAACCUGGCAAAGUGCGUCAAGCGAUGAGGCUUCCUCUUUGAAGAUCACAGGUGAGAAGAUUAGGUGCUUUCUCAGAAGCCCAGCAACCUGAUGGGAGUGUGGAGUGAGCAAGACCCAAAUCGGAGCUUCAUCCCUGCAUGGUUCAUUUUGCUUAUUUGGCAAACUUGCCCUGCAGAAUCUACUCAAGCUUCCUCAGUUUCUCAAAUCAUUCUUGGGCAACAAAUGAACAAGAAAGAGGACGUCUUAUUAUCUGGUGUCUGGCUUGCUGAUUUAAUAACCUAGGAGACAGUGUUUGAAGAACACAAACUCUAAAGUCCUUCACUUAAAAAAAAAAAAAAACUUUCCCAAAUUGCUUACCAUUUGGAAAAAUUGCCUUACCUUCUUCAGUCAUCUCUGAUGUUGUCAUCCUCAGAGUAAGAAGUACGCAUUCAUAAGGAACCAUAACGUCCUUCAGGAAAUCCAGUACACCCUACAAUUUUACCUAAAACUUUGAUGUUGUUUUUUCUGAGCAUUUUACCUUCUAGGGAAAUGGAUCUCAUGCUGUUUAUCAGUUUCUGAAAGUUGUUAUUAAUCUCCCCUCAUCCCAAAAUUGAAGAACUUUGCUUAAAUCUUAGAAUCAGAACUUUGGCUCCAGUAAUAAAGACUUUUCAAUAUC